rnacentral:rRNA from 1 species
AAUGCCUAGGAAUCUGCCUGGUAGUGGGGGAUAACGUUCGGAAACGGACGCUAAUACCGCAUACGUCCUACGGGAGAAAGCAGGGGACCUUCGGGCCUUGCGCUAUCAGAUGAGCCUAGGUCGGAUUAGCUAGUUGGUGAGGUAAUGGCUCACCAAGGCGACGAUCCGUAACUGGUCUGAGAGGAUGAUCAGUCACACUGGAACUGAGACACGGUCCAGACUCCUACGGGAGGCAGCAGUGGGGAAUAUUGGACAAUGGGCGAAAGCCUGAUCCAGCCAUGCCGCGUGUGUGAAGAAGGUCUUCGGAUUGUAAAGCACUUUAAGUUGGGAGGAAGGGUUGUAGAUUAAUACUCUGCAAUUUUGACGUUACCGACAGAAUAAGCACCGGCUAACUCUGUGCCAGCAGCCGCGGUAAUACAGAGGGUGCAAGCGUUAAUCGGAAUUACUGGGCGUAAAGCGCGCGUAGGUGGUCUGUUAAGUUGGAUGUGAAAUCCCCGGGCUCAACCUGGGAACUGCAUUCAAAACUGACUGACUAGAGUAUGGUAGAGGGUGGUGGAAUUUCCUGUGUAGCGGUGAAAUGCGUAGAUAUAGGAAGG